rnacentral:tRNA from 2 species
GCCCGGUUAGCUCAGAUGGUAGAGCAUCAGACUUUUAAUCUGAGGGUCAUGGGUUCGAGCCCCAUACCGGGCG